UAACUAAAGGUGUUUCUAAAAGUACAAAAUUCUGCUAACUGUAAGACUGAUGGAAAUAAAGGAAGCAACUCUGUAUGUAGGAAAGUAGAAGAUAUAUAAGAAAGAUUUAAGGAAUGGGAGUACAUUUUAUUGAAAGUAAAAGGAGAUAAUUUUGUCCUAAAUGAGAUGGUUAAGAAAAAUUUUAGGAAUGG